rnacentral:rRNA from 1 species
AAUCAACGCUGGCGGCGUGCCCCAGACAUGCAAGUCGAACGAUUAAACUUUCCUUCGGGAGAGAUAUAAAGUGGCGCACGGGUGAGUAACACGUAAGUAAUCUACCUUCGAGUGGGGAAUAACAUCGGGAAACCGAUGCUAAUACCGCAUAAUGCAGCGGCAUCGCAAGAUGACAGUUGUUAAAGGAGCAAUCCGCUUGAAGAGGAGCUUGCGGCAGAUUAGCUAGUUGGUAAGGUAAUGGCUUACCAAGGCUUCGAUCUGUAUCCGGCCUGGGAGGGCGGUCGGACACACUGACACUGAAUAACGGGUCAGACUCCUACGGGAGGCAGCAGUCGGGAAUUUUGGGCAAUGGGCGAAAGCCUGACCCAGCAACGCCGCGUGAAGGAUGAAGUAUUUCGGUAUGUAAACUUCGAAAGAAUGGGAAGAAUCAAUGACGGUACCAUUUAUAAGCUCCGGCUAACUACGUUCCAGCAGCCGCCGCGGUAA